rnacentral:rRNA from 1 species
UGAACGCUGGCGGCGUGCCUAAUACAUGCAAGUCGAGCGAACAGACGAGGAGCUUGCUCCUCUGACGUUAGCGGCGGACGGGUGAGUAACACGUGGAUAACCUACCUAUAAGACUGGGAUAACUUCGGGAAACCGGAGCUAAUACCGGAUAAUAUAUUGAACCGCAUGGUUCAAUAGUGAAAGACGGUUUUGCUGUCACUUAUAGAUGGAUCCGCGCCGCAUUAGCUAGUUGGUAAGGUAACGGCUUACCAAGGCAACGAUGCGUAGCCGACCUGAGAGGGUUAUCGGCCACACUGGAACUGAGACACGGUCCAGACUCCUACGGGAGGCAGCAGUAGGGAAUCUUCCACAAUGGGCGAAAGCCUGACGGAGCAACGCCGCGUGAGUGAUGAAGGUCUUCAGAUCGUAAAACUCUGUUAUUAGGGAAGAACAAAUGUGUAAGUAACUAUGCACGUCUUGACGGUACCUAAUCAGAAAGCCACGGCUAACUACGUG